rnacentral:rRNA from 1 species
GACAGAGGGUGCAAACGUUGCUCGGAAUCACUGGGCGUAAAGCGCGUGUAGGCUGGCCAGUAAGUCGGGUGUGAAAUCCCUGGGCUCAACCCAGGAACUGCAUCCGAAACUACUGGCCUAGAGUAUUGGAGAGGGAAGCGGAAUUCCAGGUGGAGAGGUGAAAUUCGUAGAUAUCUGGAGGAACACCGGUGGCGAAGGCG